UACGUAGGGUGCAAGCGUUGUCCGGAAUUAUUGGGCGUAAAGAGCUCGUAGGCGGUCUGUCGCGUCUGGUGUGAAAAUCCAGGGCUUAACCCUGGACCUGCAUCGGGUACGGGCAGACUAGAGUGCGGUAGGGGAGGUCGGAAUUCCUGGUGUAGCGGUGAAAUGCGCAGAUAUCAGGAGGAACACCGGUGGCGAAGGCGGAUCUCUGGGCCGUAACUGACGCUGAGGAGCGAAAGCGUGGGGAGCGAUCCGG
rnacentral:rRNA from 1 species